rnacentral:lncRNA from 1 species
UGUCUCCCAUCACUCCCAGAUGGGACCGUCUAGUUGCAGGAAAACAAGCUCAGGGCUCCCACUGAUUCUACAUUAUGAGAUCAACUGCAUGGGGUCCUACAGGAGAAGACCAAGAGACAGAGACAGAGACCAGGGAAAAUGACCGAUACCAUUCCUUCUCAGGGAUGCUACACACCCAUGGGGCAGAGGAUAAGAGGUUCCUGAAGGCAUCACCCCUCUGGCCAUGGCUGGUGUGCAGACAAAGCUGGAGAUUUGGAGUAGCCUGUUGUCCCACUGACUCUUAGACUGCCCCAGCUAAGAAGAACCAACUCCUCCUAUUACAGAUGAAAUAAACAAAGCUACUCAAGCUCUCUGGCAUCGCCCUGACGGUCAUCAUGUGCUUCACAUUUCCCUCCUGCCCCCCCUGAUUUUCUGGAAAAGGGAGAAAGUGUGUGAAAAAAAAUGGACAAUAACUUCUGUUAACUUUGUAGAUGUCUGGUUCCUCCAUAUGAGGCUGUGCUUGAAUCAAUUUUGGAGAGAGGGUUUCUAAAGUCUCUCU